rnacentral:rRNA from 1 species
UACGUAGGGUGCGAGCGUUGUCAGGAAUUAUUGGGCGUAAAGAGCUCGUAGGCGGCUUGUCGCGUCGGAUGUGAAAGCCCGGGGCUUAACUCCGGGUCUGCAUUCGAUACGGGCAGGCUAGAGUUCGGUAGGGGAGAUCGGAAUUCCUGGUGUAGCGGUGAAAUGCGCAGAUAUCAGGAGGAACACCGGUGGCGAAGGCGGAUCUCUGGGCCGAUACUGACGCUGAGGAGCGAAAGCGUGGGGAGCAAACAGG